rnacentral:tRNA from 1 species
GGGGGCGUAGCUCAGAUGGUAGAGCGCUCGCUUAGCAUGCGAGGGGUACUGGGAUCGAUACCCAGCGUCUCCA